rnacentral:tRNA from 1 species
GGGGCAUAGCUCAGUUGGUCAGAGCGCAUGCUUCACAUGCAUGAGGUCGUAGGUUCGAGCCCUACUGUCCCC